CUAAUUGAGUGUUCGUCUACUGUAGCUUAGGAACAGUAAUGGCUUAGUAACAGUACCAGCUCGAGCCGAGCCGGUAUAGGAAAAGACGCUUUUACCCCUCUUUCCUCUUAUUUUACAACGCUGCUGCCGCUCACCUGGGUAUAAGAACCUAUCGAUCAGCCGCAGUCGGUUUUUUCUCUUUCCGCUCUCUCCUCCCCCUUCAGAAAGUGAUAGCCACGGAUUGCGAGAGAGAGAAAGAGGUUUUCUGUGUCUUUUGAGUCUUCUCACUAUUCUGCGAAAUAGAGAACGAGGGAGUGAAGGCUGAUCCGAAGAAGAGGAAGAACAGGGAACGGGAAGAGGAAGAAGAAUUUGAUACACCAAGUUGUGGUCUAUCCAAAUUCAUGGACUGCAAUUUACGUACCUUUGGACAAUGUGGGAAUGUGGAAUGUGAGAUAUGAGAAUUGGGCCCGACAGUACUUAGGCCAGCAGUUCUAUCUUCGUGUAUACUUCUGUAUAAUCACAUUUCACCUAUUUAAUUCUAAGAUUCUAAGCACACCAAGCAGCUUUUGACAGAAGAUGAAACUUCAGCAUUCUCAAGUCUCCAAUCACUCUAAGCAUCAUUUACUAAACACCCAGCCACACAUCUCCGUAUAUUUGCUUUAUCGCAAGAUUGCAAUUACAGUUGGACUUAGAACUUUUGUGGCAAAAUAUAAGCACUUAAUUGAUUCAGUAGCAUGUGUUUUUGAUUAAUGUUGACACUAUUUUUGGAAGUUGGUUGACUACUCAGCAUUUAAUGACCAUGGUUUCUACUGCCUUUGGCAGAAUCAGAAAAUGGGACAGUGCCUUGGUUAUAUCUAGGCUGACCAGUUUACUGUUGCAAUCAGAGAAACUUUUGGGAAUUUGAUGAUGUGCUUGAACCUGGUUGUCAUUGUUUGUCUUGGUGUUUGGGUAGCGCAGUAGCUGAUCAUCUCUUUCUACGAGUGCAGCAAUUGGAUGUUCGCUGAAACAAAGACAAAGGUUCAUGUGCUUCCGUCCAUUUGGGAUCUUUACUUGGGUUUUUUUCUCAGUUGUAUUUUUUGACUUUGAGUGAAUGAUGUUCCAAGCAAAAGCGGAGACAAGAAAAAAACAACCCCGCAGCAACGCGCGGGAAUGACAACUAGUAAUGUACUGAAUUAA